CUAGUACUCCCUCCAUCCGAAAGUACUUGUCGAAGAAAUAGAUAAAAAUGGAUGUACCUAGAACUAAGAUAUGUCUAGAUGCAUCCAUUCCUCCGACAAGUAUUUCCGGACGGAGGGAGUACAUA
rfam:Triticum aestivum genome assembly, contig: Triticum_aestivum_CS42_TGACv1_scaffold_457238_5DS